rnacentral:rRNA from 1 species
UACGUAGGGUGCAAGCGUUGUCCGGAAUUAUUGGGCGUAAAGAGCUCGUAGGCGGUCUGUCGCGUCUGCUGUGAAAACCUGGGGCUUAACCCCGGGCCUGCAGUGGGUACGGGCAGACUAGAGUGCGGUAGGGGAGACUGGAAUUCUUGGUGUAGCGGUGAAAUGCGCAGAUAUCAGGAGGAACACCGGUGGCGAAGGCGGGUCUCUGGGCCGUAACUGACGCUGAGGAGCGAAAGCGUGGGGAGCGAACAGG